AAAUGACCGGUUUUUGCUCAAGUGACGUGAAUCAGCGUUUGCAUACAGAUACUGCAGAAAGCCUAGGCUGUCUUUUAGGGUAUGACUACACAAUCGGGUAGUGUCGCUAUCUGAAGAAGAUCUCUGGAAAUCUCGAAGGCCUUUGUAGCAUGUGAAACGACACAUUUCUCGUCCUCCCGUUUUGCCGCAUUCUCCGGGUUUUGUGAGGACUUUCGCUGUAAUCCAGUUAUUUGUGCUUACUAGAAUUCAGUUCGUGGGAGAUCCUACCGAUGUACGCCUCGCCGUAAUGGAAGAAUCGAGACCCAAAGACGGCGGAGUCAGCUGCUGGCACUGGGGACAGUCAUACAAGGGAGACUAAUGCAAAUGUUGAAUGGCACAUUUCUUGCACAUUAAAUGGUUGCAUUGGAGUUCAACUGGGAUGUUGACAACUUUUCACACAGGGUGCACUUGAACGAGUCAAACAGGGAUUCUGGUGCUACUGUUUCUAUUUGUUGGAUUAGGUCAGUCAAUUUGAUUGCUGACUGACCUGUGAGAACAAGCUGAUUCUUUUUCAAUUUUUGGGUGGUCUUCCUUAUUUCUUCUGUUGCUGACAACUGCAGCAGGUGUUGCAGUUUUCUGAGUGUACCGUCCACUCUCUGCAGAAAGGUACAAGAAUAGAGGCUCCUUGCCUCUUUGUAAAUCAAUGCAUCACUAGAUGGCAGCGGACACAGAAAUUGACAUUUGUACUGACGUCCUCUCAAUUGAACCUGGGGGCACAUAACCUGCAAAGCUCUCGUACGGAAAGGAUGUGAUGUGCCAUAUCCAUAGACUAGACUGACAACACUUGUAUACUGGUUAACUGUUUCUGUAUACAUCUUAUGUAGUGUAUGGAGUAAGGAAAGGGCAUGAGAGAGUGAUGAGGUAAAGAACUGCUA